GAUCCCGGGGGACGGGCCCGAAAGGCAGCGGCGGCACCGCGUCCGGUCCUCGAGCGUAUGGGGCUUUGUCACCCGCUCUGUAGGCCCGGCCGGCGCUUGCCGAUCAACCCAAAUUUUUAUCCAGGUUGACCUCGGAUCAGGUAGGGAUACCCGCUGAACUUAAGCAUAUCAAUAAGCGGAGGAAAAGAAACCAACAGGGAUUGCCCCAGUAACGGCGAGUGAAGCGGCAAGAGCUCAAAUUUGAAAGCUGGCUCCUUCGGGGUCCGCAUUGUAAUUUGUAGAGGAUGCUUCGGGAGCGGUCCCCAUCUAAGUGCCCUGGAACGGGACGUCAUAGAGGGUGAGAAUCCCGUAUGGGAUGGGGUGUCCGCGCCCGUGUGAAGCUCCUUCGACGAGUCGAGUUGUUUGGGAAUGCAGCUCUAAAUGGGUGGUAAAUUUCAUCUAAAGCUAAAUAUUGGCCGGAGACCGAUAGCGCACAAGUAGAGUGAUCGAAAGAUGAAAAGCACUUUGAAAAGAGAGUUAAAAAGCACGUGAAAUUGUUGAAAGGGAAGCGCUUGCGACCAGACUCGCUCGCGGGGUUCAGCCGGCAUUCGUGCCGGUGUACUUCCCCGCGGGCGGGCCAGCGUCGGUUUGGGCGGUCGGUCAAAGGCCCUCGGAAGGUAACGCCCCUAGGGGCGUCUUAUAGCCGAGGGUGCAAUGCGACCUGCCUAGACCG
rnacentral:rRNA from 1 species